GACCGCGUAGCUCAGUUGGCAGAGCAUUGGGCUAGUAUUCCAAAGGUCGUAGGUUCGAUUCCCACCGUGCCCA